rnacentral:rRNA from 1 species
GAUGAACGCUGGCGGCGUGCCUAAUACAUGCAAGUCGAGCGAACAGACGAGGAGCUUGCUCCUUUGACGUUAGCGGCGGACGGGUGAGUAACACGUGGGUAACCUACCUAUAAGACUGGGAUAACUUCGGGAAACCGGAGCUAAUACCGGAUAAUAUUUCGAACCGCAUGGUUCGAUAGUGAAAGAUGGCUCUGCUAUCACUUAUAGAUGGACCUGCGCCGUAUUAGCUAGUUGGUAAGGUAACGGCUUACCAAGGCAACGAUACGUAGCCGACCUGAGAGGGUGAUCGGCCACACUGGAACUGAGACACGGUCCAGACUCCUACGGGAGGCAGCAGUAGGGUAUCUUCCGCAAUGGGCGAAAGCCUGACGGAGCAACGCCGCGUGAGUGAUGAAGGUCUUCGGAUCGUAAAACUCUGUUAUUAGGGAAGAACAAACGUGUAAGUAACUGUGCACGUCUUGACGGUACCUAAUCAGAAAGCCACGGCUAACUACGUG